rnacentral:miRNA from 1 species
UUCAAGUAGUCCAGGAUAGGCU